UACGUAGGGUGCAAGCGUUAAUCGGAAUUACUGGGCGUAAAGCGUGCGCAGGCGGUUGUGCAAGACCGAUGUGAAAUCCCCGGGCUCAACCUGGGAACUGCCUUUGUGACUGCAAGGCUUGAGUGCGGCAGAGGGGAUGGAAUUCCGCGUGUAGCAGUGAAAUGCGUAGAUAUGCGGAGGAACACCGAUGGCGAAGGCAAUCCCCUGGGCCUGCACUGACGCUCAUGCACGAAAGCGUGGGGAGCAAACAGG
rnacentral:rRNA from 1 species